CUUGCUCAGGUUAGUAAAUGUGUGAGGUCAGUUUUGGACCCAGGUUUUCCUGGCUCCAGGCUCAGCUCUCUAUCCACCAUAUCACUUGGCUGCCUUAAAAACAGAAACUUUGACAGUGCAACUAAAGCUCCACCCCUUCCUCUCAGUUCUUUCUCCUUAUAUAUAUCAAGGCAAACUCUGCUCUCUGCAUACUGUCCUGCCAGAAGGAAGCAGGAGCCCAAGGCUGGAAGAGUUUUUUCCUUUAGGUACCACAAUUGCCUUAAUAGAAAUCAACACUAACUCCUCUCCAGAUCUCCCAGAUCAAUCUCCUCUUCUCCUAAACCCUGUUUGUUCUCUCAGACAUCUCAGUCCUUUACAAGCAGGUCUAACAUGUGCUAUUCAAAGCAUGUAGGGUUCUGAGAUGUGGGACUCAGGCAGGACUGAUCACCAAAGGAGAGAGAGUAGGUACCUUAUGAAUGUUUGUUGCAUAAAAUGAAUGGUAAUCCUAUUUGCCAUUCAUUUGGUUAACAAAUAUUUCAUAUACGUUUCAUUAUUUGCGAAAGUGUCUAUGAAAUGAGAAAUCAGUAGAGGGGGCAGCUGGGUGACCCAGUGGAUUGAGAGUUCAAAUCUGGUCUCAUACCCUCCCUAGCUGUGUGACCCUGGGCAUGUCACUUAAC
rnacentral:lncRNA from 1 species